UAAGGAAUAUUGCGCAAUGGGCGACAGCCUGACGCAGCGACGCCGCGUGGGGGAUGAAGGUCUUCGGAUUGUAAACCCCUUUCGGCAGGGAAGAUGGAACGGGUAACCGUUCGGACGGUACCUGCAGAAGCAGCCACGGCUAACUUCGUGCCAGCAGCCGCGGUAAUACGAAGGUGGCAAGCGUUGUUCGGAUUUACUGGGCGUACAGGGAGCGUAGGCGGUUGGGUAAGCCCUCCGUGAAAUCUCCGGGCUAACCCGGAAAGUGCGGAGGGGACUGCUCGGCUAGAGGAUGGGAGAGGAGCGCGGAAUUCCCGGUGUAGCGGUGAAAUGCGUAGAGAUCGGGAGGAAGGCCGGUGGCGAAGGCGGCGCUCUGGAACAUUUCUGACGCUGAGGAGCGAAAGCGUGGGGAGCGAACAGGAUUAGAUACCCUUGUAGUCCCUGAGCGGGCUGGCAAGGCGCAU
rnacentral:rRNA from 1 species